rnacentral:rRNA from 1 species
UACGUAGGGUGCAAGUGUUGUCCGGAUUUAUUGGGCGUAAAGGGCGCGUAGGCGGCCACGCACGACCGUUGUGAAAUCGCUCGGCUCAACUGGGCGGGGUCAGCGGAUACGGUGUGGCUAGAGCAAGCUAGGGGGCAAUGGAAUUCCCGGUGUAGUGGUGGAAUGCGUAGAUAUCGGGAGGAACACCAGUGGCGAAGGCGGUUGCCUGGAGCUUUGCUGACGCUGAUGCGCGAAAGCGUGGGGAGCGAUCCGG